GAUGAACGCUGGCGGCGUGCCUAAUACAUGCAAGUCGAGCGAACAGACGAGGAGCUUGCUCCUCUGACGUUAGCGGCGGACGGGUGAGUAACACGUGGAUAACCUACCUAUAAGACUGGGAUAACUUCGGGAAACCGGAGCUAAUACCGGAUAAUAUAUUGAACCGCAUGGUUCAAUAGUGAAAGACGGUUUUGCUGUCACUUAUAGAUGGAUCCGCGCCGCAUUAGCUAGUUGGUAAGGUAACGGCUUACCAAGGCAACGAUGCGUAGCCGACCUGAGAGAGAGAUCGGCCACACUGGAACUGAGACACGGUCCAGACUCCUACGGGAGGCAGCAGUAGGGAAUCUUCCGCAAUGGGCGAAAGCCUGACGGAGCAACGCCGCGUGAGUGAUGAAGGUCUUCGGAUCGUAAAACUCUGUUAUUAGGGAAGAACAAAUGUGUAAGUAACUAUGCACGUCUUGACGGUACCUAAUCAGAAAGCCACGGCUAACUACGUG
rnacentral:rRNA from 1 species